CGGCCAAUAGCACAGCGUGGGGUGUUGGGUUUGUGGCACAGGACGCACCGCGCAGGAUUUACCGCUCGUCGACAUCCAUCAGAUGGCGGGCAAACGGCAUGUCAUCAUAACUAAAUCAAGCUCAACAUCAGAACGUUCAAAAGUGGAGUCCAUUAAGAUUCACCGCCAGGAUGCAUGGAGCCUUGAUAGAGGCCGAGCUGGAACUCUGGAUGUAGAAGAAGGAUGAGCCGAACAUGGGAAAAGGACUCACCAGACCUGAGGGAAUGCACAUAAAUUCUCACUACUUGUCUACUACAAAGCUAUUGUGACAUGAUGUCUUACCAAGGAAUUGUGCACGGGCCUGAUGUGGGUUUAGAGGCUGGACUUGUUGCAUAUGUUGAGUUGCCAUAUUGAGCCACUGCUGUGGAUUCUGUUUGCUGUAGAACUGUGGGGGGACACACUCCUGCAACUCACGUCUGAACACACACACAAACACACAUGGAAGCUAUGAUUUUUUUCUUUUAACUUAUUAAACUUCCAAUGGGGGAGGAUUGAC